rnacentral:rRNA from 1 species
UACGUAGGGUGCAAACGUUGCUCGGAAUCAUUGGGCGUAAAGCGCACGUAGGCGGCCCGAUAAGUCGGAUGUGAAAUCCCUCGGCUCGACCGAGGACGUGCAUUCGAAACUGUCGGGCUCGAGUAUGGAAGAGGGUCGCGGAAUUCCCGGUGUAGAGGUGAAAUUCGUAGAUAUCAAGAGGAACACCUGAGGUGAAGACGGGUUGCUGGGCUGACACUGACGCUGAGGCGCGAAAGCCAGGGGAGCAAACAGG